UCAGUUAUUUCUCUGCCGCUUCUCUUUCUCUUUGUGCCCUAAACCUUCCUUCUCCGUUGUUGUUCUGCUUUACCAUCAUUCUAUUCUUCCAAUCAGUGAACGAUAAUCAGGCAUGAAUUCCUUCCCUCUUCAUUGUUCUACUUCAUCAUAUUUCCCCUUCAUGUUUUAAUAGCAGAACAACAUUAAUCUUUUUGAAUGUUAAAACCCUAACCUUCAAUUCUGUUCUCAUACCAUCUAGGUAAUUCCGUCGCCGCUCCCACCCAAUCUACAGUCCGUAUCCAAUUUUUCAUGUUAGGUUUUCAUUUACCAAUUUGAAGGAAGAUAAAGUGGGGAAUCACUGGUUUCAAAAGCUAAGGUUUUAAACAUACAUGGGGAUUCCAUUAGCAAACUGAGAAGAAGAAGAUGACGACUAGAAUAGCUCCCGGAGUGGGGGCGAAUCUCCUAGGUCCACACUCGGCGGAGAGGAACCAAGAUGUCACCGCCAACGUCGGCAAUCUCACCCAUCCUCUCGCUGUUUUUUCUAUCAGUGUUUCAAUCGUUGUUUAUGCCGAUGAUGGAUGAAUCAAACAGAAGGAUUAAAGAUGUUCAAGGCGAUGAAUGGCAUAAAGAUUUCAGAGACGUUUUCAGAUUUAGAUAUAUUCUUUGAAUGAAGGUACUUUCAAAUCCGUUGGUUUUCAUUUUUUAAGUUGUUAUAUCUGAUUUGGAGUUGCAAAUUUGUGAUCGUUGAAUUUGUGUGUAUUGUUUGGUGAUGAUUUCAUAUAAAGUUUUAAUUUUUACGUGAAAUUGCAGCUUUUGAAAGGAGAGUUUUUAUUGUUUAUCUGGUGUUGGUGAAGUGUCUUUUUUUCUUGAUAUGGGCAGACACGGGAUCCGGGUUUUGACCCGGGUAUACAAAUGUUCUAAUACCCUAAUAUGCAUCUCUUUCACCGCCGCUUCUCUUUUUGUAUAAAUUGUCCAAACUAGGGUUAGACCCAAGUGCUCCGAACUGGAUUAAGUAGGUACGAGGCUUCUCCCUUUUAAAGUUUUCGUUUGAAAAUAUUAUCAUUACAGAUAACAUUUUGGUAUUGAUUCUUGUCACAUAAUAAAUAACCGUAAGUUUAUUAUUUGUUACUUUGAUGUCACACCCCGAUAAUCCCACGCAUCUCUAUGUGAUAUUGUGUCACUAAAUCACUAUGUACAGGAUAUAUGUUCCUUAUCCAUUUCAGUGGGGCACCCCAACUUUUGAUGUAACAGAAGUAUUCAUGAUGGUAGUUGCUUCAUUCAUCUCUACCAUUUAGUCCACUGGUUCGUUUCUCGCAACAACAAGAUAUGGGAGCGCGACUCCUGUGUCACCUUCUGUUUUAAGUCGCGGUAUCGGGUGGCUGGACUUUCAUUGGUAGCAUGUGUGAUACGGUAACCGGAUUUGCUGCAUCAGUGUAACGACCUUCAUUUAACGUUGUUUUUAACGAUUAUAUGACAUCGAAUACGUAUUUUUACGAAUAUGGUGAUUUGUAGGGAAAACUCUGGUGCAUUGGCAUUAACUAAAGUUGGAAGUCAACGCGUGAUUCAAAUAUCAGCUGCUUUCAUGCUCUUCUUUUCAGUCUUUGGUAAAAAGUCUCGCCUUGUCUUGUAUCUUCUUUCGAGAGGGAGUUCGUUUAUGUUCAUUUACUUGACGAAUCUUCUUCAAACAAAAAUACUUCACUUCAGAGGAAUAUGGGCUCUGAGUUCUCGUGUAUGAUAAAAGAGGCCAAGAUUCUUGCCUCAACAUUAGGGGUUCCAUGUGUAGACAGUAUCGAGGAAGGUGAAGCUCAGUGUGCAUUAUUGGUUUCGGAGUCAUUAACUGAUGGAUGUUUCUCUUCAGACUUGGAUAUCUUUCUCUUUGGAGCAAGAAUAGUGUACAGGGAUAUAUGCCUUGGUGGUUAUGUUAUUUGUUAUGAAAUGGAUGACAUUGAGAAAAAAAACUUGGAUUCGGAAGAAACUCAUUGGUGCGUUAUUUUCGAGUUAGUUUGCAGGACAACUGUUGAGGGUUAUGUUAAGAACGUAACGCCAAAGGGAUGUUUUAUUAUGCUUUCUAGGAAGCUUGAUGCGAAAAUCCUCAUUUCAAACUUGUCUGACGAUUUUGUCUCGAACCCCGAAGAAGAGUUUCCUAUCGGGAAACUUGUAACUGGCCGGGUGCUCUCUUUGGAACCUCUAUCAAAGAGAAUUGAAGUUAGUCUUCGUAAAACAAGUGGUUCGGGAAGGGUGAAGCGUGUUAAGUUGUAUGGUUUGUUUAUCAUUAUCGAUCAAUCUAAGUUGGUUGGAUUGUGCCAUGUGUCCGAGCUUCCCGAGGAUAAUGUCGACAACCUUGAAACGAAGUACAAAGUUCAUGAGUGCGUUAAAGCUAAAGUUUUGAAGAUUGAUGAAGAAAGACGAAGUUCAUGUAGUUUUCAGCCAAUGUAGUUUUCAGCCAAUGUAAAGUCUGAGUAUCUGCAUUGACAAAGUUGCUCAUAAUUUACAAGAAUCAAGAUUUGGGUUCUCAUAUGUGAUAAAAUGGAAAAAAACAACUAAAAUAUGAGAGAACUCAAUUUACUAAGGGAAAGGUUUUGGUAACUCGAAGGAUAUGCAUCUUCAAAGGGACUCGACUAUCUUUAAAUUGUAUAUCCACUGUAUCACUAAUUUAUAUAAUAUGAGACUUUGUAUUUUAUUUUAUUUAUAUACACUUGAUAUUUAUCUUAA